CCUACGGGCGGCUGCAGUGGGGAAUAUUGGACAAUGGGGGGAACCCUGAUCCAGCCAUGCCGCGUGUGUGAAGAAGGCCCUCGGGUUGUAAAGCACUUUCAGUGAGGAAGAACGCCUGGUGGUUAAUACCCAUCAGGAAAGACAUCACUCACAGAAGAAGCACCGGCUAACUCCGUGCCAGCAGCCGCGGUAAUACGGAGGUUGCGAGCGUUAAUCGGAAUUACUGGGCGUAAAGCGCGCGUAGGUGGCUUGAUAAGCCGGUUGUGAAAGCCCCGGGCUCAACCUGGGAACGGCAUCCGGAACUGUCAAGCUAGAGUGCAGGAGAGGAAGGUAGAAUUCCCGGUGUAGCGGUGAAAUGCGUAGAGAGCGGGAGGAAUACCAGUGGCGAAGGCGGCCUUCUGGACUGAAACUGACACUGAGGUGCGAAAGCGUGGGUAGCAAACAGGAUUAGAUACCCCUGUAGUC
rnacentral:rRNA from 1 species